rnacentral:rRNA from 1 species
UACGUAGGUGGCAAGCGUUGUCCGGAUUUACUGGGUGUAAAGGGCGCGUAGGCGGGAUGGCAAGUCAGAUGUGAAAUGCCGAGGCUUAACCUCGGCACUGCAUUUGAAACUGCUGUUCUUGAGUAUCGGAGAGGCAGGCGGAAUUCCUAGUGUAGCGGUGAAAUGCGUAGAUAUUAGGAGGAACACCAGUGGCGAAGGCGGCCUGCUGGACGACAACUGACGCUGAUGCGCGAAAGCGUGGGGAGCAAAC